AGUGAACGCUGGCGGUAGGCCUAACACAUGCAAGUCGAACGGCAGCACAGUAAGAGCUUGCUCUUACGGGUGGCGAGUGGCGGACGGGUGAGGAAUACAUCGGAAUCUACUUUUUCGUGGGGGAUAACGUAGGGAAACUUACGCUAAUACCGCAUACGACCUACGGGUGAAAGCAGGGGAUCUUCGGACCUUGCGCGAUUGAAUGAGCCGAUGUCGGAUUAGCUAGUUGGCGGGGUAAAGGCCCACCAAGGCGACGAUCCGUAGCUGGUCUGAGAGGAUGAUCGGCCAACCUGGAACUGGGACACGGUCCAGACUCCUACGGGAGGCAGCGGUGGGAAAUAUUGGACAAGGGGCGCAAGCCUGAUCCAGCCAUACCGCGUGGGUGAAGAAGGCCUUCGGGUUGUAAAGCCCUUUUGUUGGGAAAGAAAAGCGGCAGGUUAAAACCCCGCUGUUCUGACGGUACCAAAGAAUAAGCACCGGCUAACUUCGUG
rnacentral:rRNA from 1 species